rnacentral:sRNA from 1 species
GGCCACCCGGUGUCGGUUUCAUUUUCCUUUGGAAUUUCUGCUUUACAGACAGAACAAUGGCAGCCCGAGUACUUAUAAUUGGCAGUGGAGGAAGGGAACAUACGCUGGCCUGGAAACUUGCGCAGUCUCAUCAUGUCAAACAAGUGUUGGUUGCCCCAGGAAACGCAGGCACUGCCUGCUCUGAAAAGAUUUCAAAUACCGCCAUCUCAAUCAGUGACCACACUGCCCUUGCUCAAUUCUGCAAAGAGAAGAAAAUUGAAUUUGUAGUUGUUGGACCAGAAGCACCUCUGGCUGCUGGGAUUGUUGGGAACCUGAGGUCUGCAGGAGUGCGAUGCUUUGGCCCAACAGCAGAAGCGGCUCAGUUAGAGUCCAGCAAAAGGUUUGCCAAAGAGUUUAUGGACAGACAUGGAAUCCCAACUGCACAAUGGAAGGCUUUCACCAAACCUGAAGAAGCCUGCAGCUUCAUUUUGAGUGCAGACUUCCCUGCUUUGGUUGUGAAGGCCAGUGGUCUUGCAGCUGGAAAAGGGGUGAUUGUUGCAAAGAGCAAAGAAGAGGCCUGCAAAGCUGUACAAGAGAUCAUGCAGGAGAAAGCCUUUGGGGCAGCUGGAGAAACAAUUGUCAUUGAAGAACUUCUUGACGGAGAAGAGGUGUCGGUAUGUAUAUUCAUCUUUCUGGCUUUUGUAGUGUAUAAGAAGCUGUCAUCUGACCUGUGUACCCCAGAAAAGACUUGAUAUACUCUGGUUGCUUCAUCUAAAAACAUAAACCCAGCAGUUACAAAGGAAUUUGUAUACUUUUAUUGUUGGGGG